rnacentral:rRNA from 1 species
GAUGAACGCUGGCGGCGUGCCUAAUACAUGCCAGUCGAGCGAACGGACGAGAAGCUUGCUUCUCUGAUGUUAGCGGCGGACGGGUGAGUAACACGUGGAUAACCUACCUAUAAGACUGGGAUAACUUCGGGAAACCGGAGCUAAUACCGGAUAAUAUUUUGAACCGCAUGGUUCAAAAGUGAAAGACGGUCUUGCUGUCACUUAUAGAUGGAUCCGCGCUGCAUUAGCUAGUUGGUAAGGUAACGGCUUACCAAGGCAACGAUGCAUAGCCGACCUGAGAGGGUGAUCGGCCACACUGGAACUGAGACACGGUCCAGACUCCUACGGGAGGCAGCAGUAGGGAAUCUUCCGUAAUGGGCGAAAGCCUGACGGAGCAACGCCGCGUGAGUGAUGAAGGUCUUCGGACCGUAAAACUCUGUUAUUAGGGAAGAACAUAUGUGUAAGUAACUGUGCACAUCUUGACGGUACCUAAUCAGAAAGCCACGGCUAACUACGUG